rnacentral:lncRNA from 1 species
UAUAUUGUAUAAAGCCACAGCUUUAUUUGAAGAUGACACCAAGAGAAGGAUUUACAUGGCUCUCAAAAAACCAAAGUUCCAAUUAGAAUGGUUGAAGUUCACUUUAAGAGAGUAAAGUUGAAUGCUCCAAUACUUUGAUAGUUAUAGUUCUGACUUUGUGAACUCUAUUACUUUUAACUAUGUGUAACUUGUAGUACUUUUUGUUUGUGAACUCUAUAGCUAU